ACUCCUACGGGAGGCAGCAGUGAGGAAUAUUGGACAAUGGAUGGAAAUCUGAUCCAGCCAUGCCGCGUGCAGGAAGACGGCCCUAUGGGUUGUAAACUGCUUUUGUAUGGGAGCAAUAAGGUCUAUGCGUAGACUGAUGAGAGUACCAUACGAAUAAGCAUCGGCUAACUCCGUGCCAGCAGCCGCGGUAAUACGGGGGAUGCAAGCGUUAUCCGGAUUUAUUGGGUUUAAAGGGUGCGUAGGCGGUUUGAUAAGUCAGCGGUGAAAUAUUUCAGCUUAACUGAAAGGGUGCCGUUGAUACUGUCAGGCUUGAAUAUGGUUGCUGUGGGUGGAAUGUGUGGUGUAGCGGUGAAAUGCUUAGAUAUCACACAGAAUAUCGAUUGCGAAGGCAGCUCACAAAGCCAUUAUUGACGCUGAUGCACGAAAGUGUGGGGAUCAAACAGGAUUAGAUACCCUGGUAGUCCACACUGUAAACGAUGAUAACUCGCUGUCGGCGAUACACAGUCGGUAGCCAAGCGAAAGCGAUAAGUUAUCCACCUGGGGAGUACGACCGCAAGGUUGAAACUCAAAGGAAAUUGACGGGG
rnacentral:rRNA from 1 species